ensembl:snoRNA small nucleolar RNA SNORA77
GCAGACUCACUCUGUUUAAGUCUGACAAAUCCAGCCUUAGACUUUUUCUGUCUGCGACAGUAACAUUAGACGAAGAA